AAAAAUUGAAUUGAGGAACGUUGUUUUAAACAAGCUUUAUUUGAAGGAAUCAUAAGUAGUAAAGUAAGUUGUAAUUUUUAUCCAAAUUAUGUAAACAUCAUCUAUACCAUGGUACUUGAUCCAUCUCCAAAAUUUAAAGAAUGUAUUAAGUAUUGAUUUCUAGGACUAUACAGUAUAGUAGGCAGUGUUCGCAUUUUCAGCACAGAGGAAAUACGAAAGCAAACAAUGCGAAAACACAUUGAGAGUUCUCUGAAUAAACAUGUAAAAAUAAAAAGAAAACGGUUUUACUAUUAAGGAUUCCUAGGGAACUUUUCUUUCAAAGGAAGUUAGAGGGCAAAUAAUUUGAGUCGGUCUAAUAUUAUGGUAACAUAUUCAAGCACUUUUAACGACAUACUCUUAACUGCUAUGUUAUUCCACAGUGUGUUACAGUCACUUAGAGAGAAAAUAUUUCAUUAAUAAAAAAAAACUUUUAUAGGGCAGGUGUAAGAAGCGUUGCAAGGCGCAAAGUAGAAAAGAAUAUAGUCAUGGAAAAGGGAAAGCCGGUGCUUGUAAAUAAUUACAAACACCAAUAUUUUUUAAUUUAUAUCUUAAAGUCUUCCAAGUUGGCGAUGUAAAGUUUCAUAACAAAAGCCAUUUCAUUUUCAUUGCAUAUUUUGGGGUCAUUUCAGUACCCAAUGGAACUAACAGGAGAGAUGCAGUGAACAACUAAGAAGUAUCAAAAUAUCUGUAACUGUUUAUAAUCCUUUUUUGCUUACUUCUUUUACUUUUUGUUUUUCCCCAGUCUCCAGGAGUGCUGGGUAAGCUUUAUUUACCAACCAUCUGUGAAUUAUCCAGCCAUAGCAUAUCUCCUUCUACUAG